GACAGAGGAUGCAAGCGUUAUCCGGAAUGAUUGGGCGUAAAGCGUCUGUAGGUGGCUUUUUAAGUUCGCCGUCAAAUCCCAGGGCUCAACCCUGGACAGGUGGUGGAAACUACCAAGCUAGAGUACGGUAGGGGCAGAGGGAAUUCCCGGUGUAGCGGUGGAAUGCGUAGAGAUCGGGAAGAACAUCAGUGGCGAAGGCGGCCUGCUGGGCUGUUGCUGACGCUGAGGCGCGACAGCGUGGGGAGCAAACAGG
rnacentral:rRNA from 1 species